rnacentral:rRNA from 1 species
CCCUUAGAUGUUCUGGGCCGCACGCGCGCUACACUGAUGCAUUCAACGAGUCUAAAACCUGCUCUGAUAGGGGUGGGUAAUCUUUUGAAUGUGCAUCGUGAUUGGGAUAGAUGAUUGCAAUUUUUCAUCUUCAACGAGGAAUGCCUAGUAAACGCAAGUCAUCAGCUUGCAUUGAUUACGUCCCUGCCCUUUGUACACACCGCCCGUCGCUCCUACCGAUUGAAUGAUCCGAUGAAUAUCAUGGAUUGAGGAUGCAAGUAGGUUCGCCUAUCUUCAUCUUCGAGAAGUGAAGUAAAUCUUAUCAUUUAGAGGAAGGGGAAGUCGUAACA